ensembl:lincRNA
UAUCAGGCGUUACUGACAAACAAAUGAAGUGGCUUCAAGCAAAAGAACACAUUUUUGUUGUGUCAGCACUCUGAGUCCUCCACCAUCUGCUGCAUCUAGACUCAAAGGCCUGAGGUGGAUGACAGACACAGUGCCUUCUGAGGUCAGAAAACCAUCACCUUCUGUUUGGACAGACGCAACACUGAAAUACGAGCUUUGAGAAAAAUUAAAGCUGGUACCAGUGAGGACACCUUGGUUCAGUCUGAUGCAUGUUGUUCUCCUUAAAGGUAAACUGGCUCCUACGGUGUCUCCCUCUCCAGCUGGGGAUGAAUGAAUUUAUUUUGGCAGAGGAGAGAUGGGUCUCUGUGUGCACAUAUUCCAGUGACCAGCCUUCGGUACCCACAGACUCCCACACCAUCUGGAAUGCUAAAUGGCACACUCACCUAGAAAAGUGACACAGCUCUUCUACAAGGAGUACACCUGAUGGAAGAUGGCAGUGAGGGGGGAAAAUGGAGCUUGAAAUGGAGUAUUCAGCUCAGUGUGGUGCUUUUGGACAGUCUGAUCUUCC